AAAUAACUAAGCGGAAUGUCUCGACAUAUCAUAAAAGUAUAUGAAUCAAAGACUGGGUUUAAACACAACCACAAUUGUCUCAUAAAUCUCUCCAAGAGCUGGUGUCACAAACAUCGUUAUGAGCAUCUAACCACAGUACACAGUGUCGACUAAACAACAACAUCUAUCCAGAAAUAAAAAUACACAUACAUGUAUAAAAAUGAGUAAGGAAGGGAGACUCCAUGUACUGCGGAUCGGAUAAAGUAAAGCAUCUCACCGCGAAGUCUCCAACAAAAUACUCCUACUCACCUCAAUUGGUACCGCUAAUACUAGCCUCAGAACCUGCACAAAAUGUACAUAACCUUAGCAUGAGUAAAAAAUCAUGGUACUCAGCAAGUAUCAAUUCUAGCUUCAAAAAGGUAGUGACGAGAUGUCGACAUUAUCAAUUACUAAUAGCUCAAUAAGCGUAUGAAAAUAUAAAUAGAACGUGGAAUAAAGCAUAAUAACAUUAAUUAAGUCUACCAGUAAAAUACAGUAAUUCUAGAAUUUAGGCAUGCUUUUCAGAUAUGAGGUAGAAUACAAUAUUAGUUAUCUCAAUUCUUUUCAUAAUCAUGGUAUGAGUUAGUCAACAUUUGUAACACCCCUUUUGUCAAGACCCAAGUUCGCCCUCCGUGAACUGUCGUGACGGCACCUAGUCUCUACGACUAGGUAAGCCUAACAAUUGCGUAAAAAGAACCAAAAUGCGGAAAAAAUAAUAAAAACUGAAGAUAAACAAAUAUAGAAGUGUUUAAGAUGCCGCUUGGCAUAUACCAAUACAAGAUCUCAAAAACUAAACAAUUCCCAAAACUAGGAAUCUCAUGAAAUCACAAGCUAUGAAUACUACAUUGUACUCUAACUCCAUAAUGUCUAAAUCAAGAUAAAUAUAGAAGGGCUAAAACUAUAAGAGAGAGUGGAAAGGGACUAUUUGGUCUACGAACGUGGCAGAUAUACCUUGAAGUUUCUG
rnacentral:lncRNA from 1 species